GUGGGGAAUCUUGCGCAAUGGGCGAAAGCCUGACCCAGCAACGCCGCGUGAAGGAAGAAGGCCUUCGGGUUGUAAACUUCUUUUAUGAGGGACGAAGGAAGUGACUGUACCUCAUGAAUAAGCCACGGCUAACUACGUGCCAGCAGCCGCGGUAAUACGUAGGUGGCAAGCGUUGUCCGGAUUUACUGGGUGUAAAGGGCGCGUAGGCGGACUGGCAAGUCAGAUGUGAAAUCCAUGAGCUCAACUCAUGAACUGCAUUUGAAACUGUUGGUCUUGAGUAUCGGAGAGGCAAGCGGAAUUCCUAGUGUAGCGGUGAAAUGCGUAGAUAUUAGGAGGAACACCAGUGGCGAAGGCGGCUUGCUGGACGACAACUGACGCUGAGGCGCGAAAGCGUGGGGAGCAAACAGGAUUAGAAACCCGGGUAGUCC
rnacentral:rRNA from 1 species